rnacentral:lncRNA from 1 species
GCGGCAGCGACGCCGCCGGCCCGUCUCGCCGCGCUUCCCAGCGAGGCCGCCGGCGCGCCGAGGGCUGUGCUCGACCGCGAAUCCCGUGUGCAGUCGCCCCGCGCCCCGCGCGACCCUUCGGGUAAACUACGAACUGGGAGUUCUGAAGAAUGGGUAAAGACUUUCGUUACUAUUUCCAGCAUCCCUGGUCUCGCAUGAUUGUGGCUUACUUGGUGAUCUUCUUUAACUUCUUAAUAUUUGCGGAGGACCCAGUUUCUCAUAGCCAAACAGAAGCCAAUGUUAUUGUUGUUGGAAACUGUUUUUCAUUUGUUACAAAUAAAUACCCUAGAGGAGUUGGCUGGAGGAUUUUGAAGGUGCUUCUAUGGCUGCUUGCCAUUCUCACAGGACUAAUAGCUGGCAAAUUUCUGUUCCAUCAGCGUUUGUUUGGUCAGUUGCUCCGAUUAAAAAUGUUUCGAGAAGAUCAUGGGUCGUGGAUGACAAUGUUCUUCAGCACAAUUCUCUUUCUUUUCAUAUUUUCUCACAUAUACAACACGAUUCUUCUAAUGGAUGGGAACAUGGGGUAGGUUAUCUUUC